UCAAGAACAGCCUUUGUGGCUGCAGUAGUGGAGGAAGGAAAAGUAUAGCCCAGGCUGAAGUGGUGGAUGGAAAAACCCUCAGACAUCCUCAUUGCACUGAUUAGUAUCUUGAGUCAUUGCCUUUGGGGGAGGUGAGAGUUUCCUCAGUACAGAUGAGUUAGAUGAGUUCCUUUAAUGAGGUUAUAUACAAGAGGCAUUGCACGCAUGAUGGUGUUCCCUGGAAAAAAAAAAAAAAAGAGAAAGCUAUCUUAUUUUCACUGCUGAGGGUAGAGGUCUCACCAAGGGUCAUCAGUAUCAAAACAAUGAGAUUUGAGAGCUGCCAAAGCUGCCCUACAUACCCAACUGAAGGCAGCUGGAAGUGGCAACUGGUGAUGGGCAGAGGGGUAACACGGUGUGGCUGCUCCAUGCCCACAGAUCUGCCUCAGGCAGAGGGUCUGUCACCACAGAGGGUCCCCGUCCUGCCCAUCACAGGCUCUCCCUGUCCCAGCUGCCAGGCAGCCGGCGGCAGUGGCACAGCAAAGGCCAAUGCACAGGCGGUAACACUAAUGCAAUGUGAAACCUCCCCCAGACAGCCGGGUGUGAGGGUGGAGGGGAAUGAGGACACGGGUGAAAAAGGGAAAGAAAUCACUCUGUCUCUUUAUCUCCUUUCAACGGACAUUUGUUACACAAUGUGCAUGUUUCUGCCACUUCAUACAGCAUACGUUAGGUUUUCCUGCCUCCUGUGAGCACUGACAGGACACAGCACGAAGACAAAGCUAGUUGCUGAAGAACUACUUCUGAAACACCCAUGAGACGUGAAGAACAACCGGUGAUCUCCUACAGGGAACAAUCUGCCACCAGAAGAGCUGUGCAUUUAAGUGAUUGUUUUGGCUCUGUUGCCAGCUCAUGCCCUCAUUCUAAGGCGCACACAAAAACCAUAAAAUAAAAAAAUUAAAACAAAAAGUGUUUCUUGGGAAAGGAAAUCCUAAGAACAUUGAAUGUGUUCAAAAGACAUUCAUUUGGGUACUUGCAGAUGAAGGAAAUAAAUGCCAGAUUCACAGAAGCUGAGGUGGAACACGCAUCGGGACUGGAGAACUAGUUCAGUUUCCAUCUCUCGGAAGAAAUGUGUGCACGUGCCACACAGGACAACAUUCUUAGUAAUCCCCUGUAAGGUGGCCGUGUCUGCUCAUGGUUUGGAGCGUUGCUCCUUGGUCUCUUCCAAUGAGACAUCCACUUUGUGUGCAGCAUUUUAUGUUCACACAGUCUAGGAACCAAACAACCACUUCCCUGCUGCGUGGGUCGUUUUCACAUUCAGCUCUAGCAAACAUUAAAAGCAGUUUGUUCCAAGAAGAUUAACUUCAAAUGGACUGCCUAAGGUAACCCAGAAGAGUUUAAAGUGACCUAGCAGCCACUUGUAGGAUAGUCAUCUGCAAGAUGGAAGAGCUAGGUUAAAACCUGCCUUUAAAAGAAGCACCACAGCUUUGAAUGGGCAUUCAGUACUUCCCAGUAAAGCCCCUAAGUGCCUCUGUGUCUCAGGUGGGUACUUCCAAGCCCUCCUCCUGCAGCUGUUCCUAAUCAGUGCUAAAAGCAAGAGUAGAAAGGAUCCCCAAGGGACCAGAGUGCUCACCUGGGAAGUGAGGGGGCACAGAUCUAAGCCCAGGGCUUACUUAUGAUGCAGUUUUAGCUUAAGGUUUCAGUCACUGGAGUGACUGUGGUGUAUAAAUUGCAUGUGGAGAAUCUGGAUAAAAUAUAGUGGUAGUUAGGACUGUUGCUUUAUCUUUGUAAUUCCUACUGUUUCUUACUGCAGGAUUCUAUUUGAACUGAGUAAAGCUGGCUAGUGUUUGAGUGCUCUUCAGAUAAGCUCUGGGAAAUCAGGCAAGAAUAGUGUUUCAGGUUAUUGAGAAAGAUGAAGAAAUUGCUUGAUGUCACUGCACUGAUGAUGGGAAGACCCUUAUUUCUCCUUUCUUCUCUUCCUCAUAUGUGGAACUAGAGAGAACACGAGUAAGAGUGCAGCAGGAUCGCCUGUCAUCGCCUGUGGUGGGGGUGGAGAAACCUGGUCCUUCCAUGCCACCUAGUGUAGGAAGCUGAGCAGCAGCCCUGCGAGGAUGGGCUCUGCAAGGUGGGGUCGUUAAGCAGGAAAUAACGGAGACCUGAAGCCUGCCACAAAAUGAGCCACCUCUGCCCUGCAGCUUCCUGAAUUUUGCUCUGCCACUUAUUUUAUUGUCUCCAGUGGAUUUCUGACUGAGGUGUCCAGCCACUGUCCUGAUGGGGCUGAUAGGCAACAUUACCUCCAGCCAGGAUUGAUCCUUCCUUGCAUUGGGUUUAAAAGCAGAUCUUGUCCUUCCUCCUCCCUACCCUCACCUGUGUACAGGCUUCCAUGCUCCCACAUGCUUUCACUGUGGCAUAAAUAAGGUUUUAUGUGGUGUGUAAAUAAGGAAAUCCCUAGAAGCAAAAGAGCACUUUAGAAGUUUGGCUUGAGUGAUGGCAAAAUGAUGACAUGUAACUUCAACACUAAUGAAGGCCGUAUGUGUGCAACGUGUUGAGAAAUGGGUGAAACAUAACACAGGGGAAGAAGAGAUGGAAUGUCAUCAUAUGUUUUCCAUUUGCAUCCACAUUAGAAAAAAAAAAAAGAUACAGUAUUUCUACUCUUUCCAAGGCGAUGUGAUGUAUGUGUCUGGUUCCAUUAUUAAAGAGAGAUCAAAAUGAUUUUAAAUAUGUUUUAGUAUUAAAGCAAUAUAAAGUGAAUGUUGGCUAUUUUGAGUCAUCAGACGCACUCUUGGCCUUUCUGCUUUUUCCUGUUCUUGGAACUCCCCCAUAUUUCUAGUUAACAGAACCCCUGAAGAUGACUGAUGUUUAAAUAUUUAAACUACCUCUUUUUUUUAACUUUUUUUUCUAGCGUAAUUAUUGAUCCCACAAUGCUUAGUGUGUAAGAAGCAAUCCUGAGUUCCUGAAGUAAAAACCACCUUCCAAAAGCCAGGCUUUUAAAAGAUGAGUCAUUGGCUGGCACUUGCAUGUUUUUUUGGCACUUAGCUUAAAGUAAGAAGUUUUGAGGAGAACUUGUGUGUAACAAGUUUGUUUUUUACUUUUCUUUUUUUUUUUUUUCCUCUAAAGAGUGCUUGGCCUACAGCCUGUCAACUUUCAAAGAAAAAUGAUGACAUGUAACUUGUGUAAUAAACCCGCAGUGUCCUGGAUGAAACUAGGGGGCACUCUUGUAUGUGGUGUUUAACUCCUUCCUGCACAUUCCGCAAUUUUCUAUGUCCUUCUUGUAUUUGUGCAAGAACAGGAAGGCAGGACUGAGGUGAAACAGUCCAAGGGGCCAUAUUUCUCUAGGCACACAUCUUUUUCUCUGCUGGAUCUGUGAGGGGCUGCCAGAGCUUUGGUUUCCUCUGGGGCUGCAGAAGCCAAGGUUUCUCACUAGCCCCUGUUGCUUCUUCCUCAUUUCCACAUGAUUAUUAUCCCCAGAACAAAUGCUGGAUUGCUGGAAGAUAUCUCAUAAUUGACUCACUUGGGACUCUGUCUCUUUGUCCCCUCAGGCAUGACCUGGAGCUGGGAAACAGAGGGAAGACAUCUGACUGUGUCAGCUGAAGUGCUCUUAGCAUCUGGCUGUAGAUUUAAAUCUUUUCUUAGUUUUCUUUCCAGUUCACUGGAAGAAACUCUGCUGGUAUAGGUCACAAAAGAUUAACAGAAAAGGUUGACAAAUGGCAAGCUGGCAACACUGGAAACAGAUUUCCCAUUGAUCCACAAAACAGGUACAGAAACAAAUGAGAAACAACAGAUUUUACUAAUUUCAUUCUCCAUUCCCCUCCAUCUAGCCACUUGCCUCUUAAGUGGUGUCUUCUCUGGGCCAGUAAACUGGCUUUUUAGCUGACAAUGCCACUCUUGCUACAACUGCAUAGGCUGUGUUCAUAAUAAUUAAUUGUCCGCUUUUAAAACUCUCUCAAAAGCCUCCAAGAACUUGCUACUUCAUCUAUCACUACUUAAUGGACUUGAAUGAGACUGACUUCGAAAUUAUUAUUAUUUUUUUUUCCUCCAUAGAGUCAUAGAAUGGCUUGGGUUGGAAUGUACCUUAAAGCCCACCCAAUUCUAUCCUCCUAUCAUGGACACAGCUGCCACCCUCUAGAUCAGGCUGUCCAGAGCCCUGCACAACCUGGCCUUGAUGGGGUAUCCACAGCUUCUCUGGGCAGCCUGUGUCAAUUUCUCACCACCCUCUGAGUAAAGAAUUUCCUCCCAGUAUCUAACCUAAAGCUCCUCUAUUUUAGUUUAAAACCACUUCCCCUUGUCUUAUCAUUAUCUGAUCAUGUAAAAAGUCAGUACAUGGUAUAACACAAUUUGCUCUGAAUUUAAACAUAAAUUUAGCAUAAACUGUCUUUUAUCAGUACAACUUCAAGUUAGGAUGCAGCACAAAGUGCCUACAUGCAAUGGCAAUAACUGAGCAUGUAGGAAACUCAGCUAAUGAAGCUCAGCACACCUUGCACAAGCAGUGCAGUGGCUUACCCACUCCAGAUCCUGCAAGAGGUGCAUGAAGAACGGCAGUCUUCUGAUCAGAACAUACUGCUCUCUUUUGGCCUGAUUGUCCUCCUUAUCCUUCUUUGGAGUUAUCAAAGGCUUAUUGAAGUUGGCUUUUCUUUUCAG
ensembl:lncRNA